GAUGAACGCUGGCGGCGUGCCUAAUACAUGCAAGUCGAGCGAACAGAUAAGGAGCUUGCUCCUUUGACGUUAGCGGCGGACGGGUGAGUAACACGUGGGUAACCUACCUAUAAGACUGGGAUAACUUCGGGAAACCGGAGCUAAUACCGGAUAACAUUUGGAACCGCAUGGUUCUAAAGUGAAAGAUGGUUUUGCUAUCACUUAUAGAUGGACCCGCGCCGUAUUAGCUAGUUGGUAAGGUAACGGCUUACCAAGGCAACGAUACGUAGCCGACCUGAGAGGGUGAUCGGCCACACUGGAACUGAGACACGGUCCAGACUCCUACGGGAGGCAGCAGUAGGGAAUCUUCCGCAAUGGGCGAAAGCCUGACGGAGCAACGCCGCGUGAGUGAUGAAGGGGUUCGGCUCGUAAAACUCUGUUAUUAGGGAAGAACAAAUGUGUAAGUAACUGUGCACGUCUUGACGGUACCUAAUCAGAGAGCCACGGCUAACUACGUG
rnacentral:rRNA from 1 species